UACGGAGGGGGCUAGCGUUGUUCGGAAUUACUGGGCGUAAAGCGCGCGUAGGCGGACCUGCAAGUCGGGGGUGAAAGCCCGAGGCUCAACCUCGGAACUGCCUUCGAUACUGCGGGUCUCGAGUCCGGGAGAGGUGAGUGGAAUUCCUAGUGUAGAGGUGAAAUGCGUAGAGAUCGGCAGGAACACCAGUGGCGAAGGCGGCCACCUAGCCCGCACCUGACGCUGAGGCGCGACAGCGUGGGGAGCGAACUGG
rnacentral:rRNA from 1 species